UACGUAGGGUCCGAGCGUUGUCCGGAAUCACUGGGCGUAAAGGGCGCGUAGGUGGCGACCCAAGUCGAUGGUGAAAGCUCGCCGCUCAACGGCGAGUCGGCCACCGAUACUGGGUUGCUUGAGCACUGUAGAGGCUAAUGGAAUUCCGGGUGUAGCGGUGGAAUGCGUAGAGAUCCGGAAGAACACCGGUGGCGAAGGCGGUUAGCUGGGCAGUUGCUGACACUGAGGCGCGACAGCGUGGGGAGCAAACAGG
rnacentral:rRNA from 1 species